CUGGAGACAGGUGCUGCAUGGCUGUCGUCAGCUCGUGUCGUGAGAUGUUGGGUUAAGUCCCGCAACGAGCGCAACCCUUGCCUUUAGUUGCCAGCAGUUCGGCUGGGCACUCUAAAGGGACUGCCGGUGUUAAACCGGAGGAAGGUGGGGAGUGACGUCAAGUCCUCAUGGCCUUUAUGACCAGGGCUACACACGUACUACAAUGGCCGAUACAAAGGGCAGCGACACUGCGAGGUGAAGCCAAUCCCGUAAAAUACGGUCUCAGUCCGGAUUGGAGUCUGCAACUCGACUCCAUGAAGUUGGAAUCGCUAGUAAUCGUGGAUCAGCAUGCCACGGUGAAUACGUUCCCGGGCCUU
rnacentral:rRNA from 1 species